GGGUUAGUAGUAGACUGUCAGGGGUAGUGGUCUGAGGUUAGCAGUAGACUGUCAGGGGAGAGGGGUCUGGGGUUAGCAGUAGACUGUCAGGGGAGAGGGGUCUGGGGUUAGCAGUAGACUGUCAGGGGAGAGUGGUCUGGGGUUAGUAGUAGACUGUCAGGGGAGAGUGGUCUGAGGUUAGUAGCAGACUGUCAGGGAGAGUGGUCUGGGGUUAGCAGUAGACUGUCAGGGGAGAGUGGUCUGGGGUUAGCAGUAGACUGUCAGGGGAGAGUGGUCUGGGGUUAGCAGUAGACUGUCAGGGGAGAGUGGUCUGGGGUUAGCAGUAGACUGUCAGGGGAGAGUGGUCUGGGGUUAGUAGUAGACUGUCAGGGGAGAGUGGUCUGGG
ensembl:lncRNA